rnacentral:rRNA from 1 species
GGGUGUGAUCAUACCAGCGUUAAUGCACCGGAUCCCAUCAGAACUCCACAGUUAAGCGCGCUUGGGCUAGAGUAGUACUGGGAUGGGUGACCUCCUGGGAAGUCCUAGUGUUGCACCCU